rnacentral:lncRNA from 1 species
GGGGCUGACCCCCUCUUGGGACUGGGCAGCUGUCUGGGGGCUGCUGGGGAGAGAGCAGAGAGCGAGGGGCCCCCAUGGCUCGCCUGGGCCCGGAGCACUGAGCGCUUUAUAGAGCUGGGCUCUUGGGGCUGGCACGGCCCUGCCCAGCGGUGGGCACUGCAUCCGCAGAGGAGGCACGCCUGGCACGUGAGGCCCGCCAUCCUCCCAGACCCCCUCGGGGUUCCUGGGGCCCUGUGCAAGUGGGAGAAAGCUGAGAGGGGAGGCCCAAAGGACACGCAGCCGAGAGGAGGAAGAAAGCGGGAGGAGGGGGGCUGCGGCGGCACGGGAAGAGAGGGCGCUUUGGGUGCCCCCCACCAAUCACAGGGAGAUGCUGUGGUCAGCCCCAUUUUCCAGUUGAGGAAACUGAGGCAAAGUGACCGCCGGGGCGGCGGGGCUGCGCUGCCUAUGAAGCGGCCGAGAGGUGACAGGGAGCCGGAGGAGGGCCGCCGGGGAGGGACUGGAGGCGGCUCCUGUGACUUGGCCUGUGCGGAAGGGGAGGGGCAGACGUGGCGGCAAUGGAGGGAGCGGGGGAGACACCUGGGCUGACCGGCCUUCGGGACCGGCGCGGGGCUGCUGGAGGAGCAGGCCCGGCCAGGCCUCGAGGAUUUGGAGCCCGCAGAGGGCCCGAGGGAAAGGCUAGUCCGCGGGGAAGAGACGCAGGAGAAGCCGGCUCCGGCUGGGGGCGGGGCUGGCGAGGGUGCUAGGGCCCCACGUGACCCGGAGCGGGGCGGCCCCUCACGCGCCCUUCUUCUCCCUUGCAAGAACUCCACGUGGGUCCCGCUGCAUAUGCUCCCUCACACCAAGUAUCUGCAGAAGAUAGGCGGCCAUCGGCCGCUACAUAGAGCUGACCAUCGAGCACGUGCAGGAGGUGGGCUGCAGCACCGCACGAUGCCCGGCGGCCGGAGACCCCCCGACCCUGCUGGAGCCCCCGGCCUACCCCCCCGUCCGGGUCAUCCACGCCAGGGUGUCCUCGAGCAGCGCCUCGGACGUCUCCUCCAUCAGCUCCGAGCUGGAGGUAGGUGGGGAGGGGCGCACCUCAGGGCUCCCCCAAAGCACCCGUGGCCAGAGCUAGCGUGCCGAGCUGGGAACCCAAGACCGAGUUCCGUCCUGCCAGAAAGGCGAGGCCCGAGUCCAC